UGUCCUCAUUAAAAGUAGGCGCGUCCAAGCCGAGGAGCUUCCCAAAGCUGCGGAUCUCGACCCCCCUCCCACGGCAGGCUGAAACCGACCCUUAGGUACGCCCUGGGCGUUUGCUUUUUGUCGUCAUUAGUGCGUCCCAGGUGAUUUUCCUGUACAUCUAGGUGUGGGAAUCCGUGGUCUAAGGUGGAGGCUCGCCACCCUUACCGUGUGUCGUCAUCUCCUGGGGGGAUUUUUACAGUGAAGGUCGAGGACUCAUCCCUAGAAAUUCCAAUGUGGGGUUUAGCAUUGACAUUUUUAAAAAAAGGUCUUCAGGAGUUUAGAGUGUACAGGCAGAUUGAGAACCCCUGCUAGGGCAGGAUGGUCUGGUGUGGGGAAGGGGCCCUCCCACCCAGACGGAGGAGGGUCGCGGACGACCCUCACUGUGGCGCCAAGCCCUGUCCUGAGUUCUUACCUGGCCGUGGAAGGUAGACGUCCUCACCUUUAUAGGUAAAGAAACUGGGACUCAGAGAGUAAGGAAAUGGCCCAGGUAGAAUAUGGGUCUGCCUUUGUGUCUGUGGUUCCAGAGCUGAGAUGAGGAAGGCUGCUGGCACAGCCCCAGAAGGGAAGCAGGUGUGUGUGCCAGUGCUCGCACUGCUGGCCUGGCAGCCAUACUGGUCACCGGGAUCUUGAACUGCUUCACGCUGGCUGGCACGUGGCUGCUGCCUCACACACACACACACACACACACACACACACACACACAAUCCAGCCACCAAGCCUCACGCUCAGGACAUACAGGAUCUCCAGGGCACCAUCCUCCUAAAAACUCUGAUUGUUCAGGGAUCAGGCUAGUUGUUAAAUAGAUUCUGUGUCACUGCUGUUCCAAGCUGUGACCAGCUUAUGCAGGCUUAUCGCCUCACCUGUGGAUGGAAACGAGGGGAGUGUCACCAGGAGCUGCUUCCUGCCCUGCCGUCUGUUAAGUUGGCAGCCGGGGGGUUGUGAGGGGUGCCUUCCUUGAACAGGCAGCUCUGAACAUGAGCCUUUCCCUGGGCUCCCGAAGGCCUGUUCCUCAGCGAGAAGCUUGGUUGUAAACAGUUCUAGAGCGGGCGACCUCCAUCUGUCAGGAUCUAAAUUAGGGACGUCACCAAGGGCAGGCACGCACUGGAAGGCGUCUCUUCUCUGUGCCAGCGUGACUUUGGCGGUUGACACCCUCUGAGGACUCUCGAAGCCCAGCGUGUACACGGGAAUGUGUGCAAACUUCUUAGACGGCAUCUUCAUCUGCAACACAGAGAGACACUCCAGGCACCCUGGUCCCCCCGAGCAGCUGCCAACACACAAGAUGGAGCAUUGCGGCCUGUAUGUAAUCAGCACUUAACACUGACGAGGUGGUCUCUCUACAGCCAAGUGGCAGCAUGAAAAGUAAGGGCUUGAAAAUAGUGGUGGCAAAAAUCCCUGAAACAGAUGAUUGUUUCUGGGACGAGGUGUAAAGGGGUGACAUCCUUCCAAAUAUUAUCCUUUACCUCUGUGCACACCUGCGUGUAUGCAGACACCCCAAGCUGCUAUAAAAUGAGGCUUUCCAAAAACACUCAAGGAAUUUGGGGUGUCAGAAGGAGGACUUUUAGAGAAAGAGACGGGUCUCCUGGCACUGGCCUACUAACACAGAAUAUUUAAUUUUUAAAAAAAGGGACCAUUUACAAGCGUCUUUAAAAACUGCAGUUUUGGGAAGUGUAGAAGUGGAUCGCUCUGGAGGAAGGAGCUGAAGAGGUGAGUAGUGAGCAGGGAUCACCCGACAGGAGACAGCAGAGCCUCUGCCCACCCCCGGACAGGCCCGGUCGGGCCGCAGGACACCUGAGAUGUGGGCCCUCGCUCUGACCCCAGGUGGUCCUCACCUUUAUGCUGCAGGAACUGCAGACAGCUCUGGAGAGAAAAGAAGAGGGUUUGCAGUGUCAGCUGUGAGGGAUCCAGCACCCGCCCGGCACACAGGCGAGGCCAGGCUGUCACUGCCUCCCGCUUGACCCCUGGCCACGUCAGUGCUUUACUUUCAUUUUACUCCCAAAUCUUGCUUUUCUUUUUACUCAGCUCUGCACCCAAAAUACUUCUGCCCCUCCUCGCUCUUGCUGGGGAGCAUCUGGUCUGGAGUGGAGGGUACCUGACCCCUCUCUCCACAAGCACUGUCAGAGCCAGAGGGCCCUCAAGUGAGAUGCCCAUCUUUAAGCAGUGAUUAACAGUGUUUAUUUCCCAUACGUGAUUUCAAAAGUAAAUGCCUUCUUGUUGUAAAAAUUCAAACAUUAGAGAGAAUUUUAAUUUAGACACGAGUCCUCUCCUGUAAAGCCCAUCCUAGAGACGAUCCCUCCUAUCAGCAGUUUCCAUUCUCCAUAUCUAAGCAUAAAUUAACAAAAACAUACAUUUAAAGUAAAAAUACAGUAAAUGAAAUGGGGUAUCAUGUGUACUAUCGUAUAAAGAUACACCAGGGCUCUUCUCCACAUCAGUACAAAUUGUCCAAAUUCAUUUUUUAAAACAAGGGACCAUGCACUCUUGCAUGGAUGUCCCAUAAUUAAUUCGCCGUCAACAAACCUCUGUAUUAGUUUGAUUUUAUUUUACUGUGGUCAGGAAACAUACUUUGUAUGAUAUGAAUCCUUCUGCAUUUUUGAGACUUGUUUUUUGACCCAGAAUAGUCAAUUUUGGUGCACGUUCCAUGUGCACUUGAUAAGAACAUACAUCGCACUGUUCGGUCUAGUUUCUCUAAAUGUCGCUUAGAUCAAGUUGGUGGUAGUGUCAUGCAAACCUCCUAGACCCUUAGGGUUUCGUAUCUCUAACUAUAAGCAUGGAUUUAGCUAUUUUUCCUUGCAGUCUGUCAAUGUUUUGUUCCAUGUAUAUUGAAUCUCUUGCUAGGUGUGGAAAAUGUUCAGGAUUAUUUCCUCCUUUUAGUGUUAUGAAAUGAACUCCUUUAACUCUGAUAAUACUCUUUACUCCAUAGUCUACUUUGUAUCAUAUUAAUAUAUCAAGUCAAGCUUUCUUUAGACUAAUGUUGGUGUGGUGUAUCUUUCUCCACCCACCUCCCUCCAACCAGUUUGUGACUUUUAUUUAAUGUACAUGUCUAGGAAAUUCCAUGGCAGUCCAGUGGUUAGGACUCCAUGCUUGGGUUUGCAGGGGGCUUGGGUUUGAUCCCUGGUCAGGGAACUAAGAUCCUGCAAGCCGUGCAGCGUAGCCAAAAAAUAAAAUUAAAUUAAAAAUAAAUUACAUGUCUUGUAGACA